UGCUUAUCUACGUACAGUAGAACUGUGUGU
rnacentral:piRNA from 1 species